rnacentral:rRNA from 1 species
UAGGGAAUCUUCGGCAAUGGACGAAAGUCUGACCGAGCAACGCCGCGUGAGUGAAGAAGGUUUUCGGAUCGUAAAACUCUGUUGUUAGAGAAGAACAAGGACGUUAGUAACUGAACGUCCCCUGACGGUAUCUAACCAGAAAGCCACGGCUAACUACGUGCCAGCAGCCGCGGUAAUACGUAGGUGGCAAGCGUUGUCCGGAUUUAUUGGGCGUAAAGCGAGCGCAGGCGGUUUCUUAAGUCUGAUGUGAAAGCCCCCGGCUCAACCGGGGAGGGUCCUUGGAAACUGGGGGACUUGAGUGCAGAAGAGGAGAGUGGAAUUCCAUGUUUAGCGGUGAAAUGCGUAGAUAUAUGGAGGAACACCAGUGGCGAAGGCGGCUCUCUGGUCUGUAACUGACGCUGAGGCUCGAAAGCGUGGGGAGCAAACAGG